GAGACGUGCAGGCAGCCGGAGCUGCUCUUCUCACCAGGCCCGUCACGGCUUUUCUCAGUUCUGGCUUCUGAUACAGUAAAUAUCAAUAGACGUAAUCCCCACACCAAAGCCCCCUGGAGUUCUCAUUUUCAAGAGUGUCAUGGGGCCUUGAUACCAAAUCGAUUGGGAGCCCCAGCCCUAGAACUGAGAGUGUUUUAAACCCGGAGGAAGCCGGCCUCUCUGGUCUCAGUGUAUUCUUCCUAAAAGAAGAACAUGGAGAUAAGAUGAUUUCUAGUAUCUCCAGCUCUAGGCAGCUGAAGAUGGCCUAACUUGGCUGGUCUGAAGGCUGGGAACUCCGCGAUCGAGACACCAGCAGAUCUGGUGUCUGAUGAGAACACACUUUCUCUUCUACGGAUGGCCAUGUGCGCUCCCUCCCCUUCCUGUUGUCACCUGGGGAGGGCCGAGGAGUGACUGCCACGAACACCCGUGACCAGCAGAGGGCGGAAGAGAGCGGCAGGAGCCUCCGGCGGAGCCGAACGAGGGGCUCCCCUCUCAGGAAGCCGAAAACUCAAGACUCCGGUACAGUGAGCUGUUAGGGACGAGCCGCCCCCAGGACGCCCUGGCGCAGCUGGCCCUCACCCUGCUGCUCUGCAGCCGCCUUCCUAACCCCGCGUGCAGGCGCCGCAGCAGCAAGGCCACCCGACAGGCCACAGCCAGCUGAGCAGAUGGGGAGGGUCACGGGAAACAGAGCUUUGUCAUAGGGACUUGUAAAUUCCUGUUUUACACAUACCUGUGAAUUCCUGUUUUAUUUAAACUGCUGCCACAAAAGUCACAGGAUGAUGUAAGUCUGUCGCAAGCUGACAGACUAUCUCUGUGCCUGUUACAAGCUGACACACUAUCUUGGUCCCGAAACUCCCUUAAGUCCCUCUCACCCCAUAUAAACCCCUUGUUUUGUAAGCUCCGGGCUGCCCCUCUGACUGUUUCGGAGCAGCUGGCAGGUCCUGCUGCUCUGCUUUCAAAUCCUCCUGGCUUCCUCCAAACCUGCCUCCCUCCCCACAGCCCCAGCCAAUGACUCUUUCUCUGACCCUGCCAAUUCCCCCUUCCUGACAGCAUCACGAUCCGGUCCCCACCUCUCCUCAGCCACCCCUCUGUCUCCGCCUCUCCCUGCUCUGUAGCCCAGCGUGCCCGGCGCACCCCGCGUGCCCAGCAUGCCAGGCAACCCGCUCCCUUGCUCCCCCCGGGGAGGCAGCUGGGGCUGCAGGGUCAUCUGUAUCCACAUCUCCUUCCCCUCUGAUCUCUCCCGGACUGAAAAACGUCUUGGGUCCUUCUCCUCCGAUCCCAAUACUUACAUCAAAGAAUUUAAAUAUCUCGCCCAGUCUUAUGAACUCAGUUGGCAUGAUCCCUAUGUUAUUUAUCCUCUCUUCUACCCUCCUUCCAUGAGAGAAGCAAAGAGUGUGGCUCACGGCCCAGGCACAAGCUGAUAGUCUUCAUCAGCGAGGCCCCCCUGAGCCCGUCGGAGCCGCUGCCUUCCCUGGGAAAACCCUUCCUGGAAGCACCAACCCGCAGACCCCGGCCGGGCUUCCUGCCACGGACGAUGACUUGCCUUAUUGCAGACCUUCACAGGGCUGCCCACAGACCGUACAUUUUGAAAAAGUUAAAGAAAUUUCCCAAAAGGCGGAUGAAAGUCCUGCCCAACCCCUUUCCCGCCUUACAGAGGCUCCCCCAAAAUACACUUGCGUCGGCCCUGCCUCCCGAGAAGAACCUGCUGAUCUUGACACCCAUUCUAUCUCCCACUCCGCCCCGACAUCUGGCGCAAACUUAAAAAGGCUGAAGAGGGCCUCAAACCCCACAACGAGACCCCCUCAGCCUGGCCUUCCAAGUCUUCCGUAACAGGGAUAAGCAAAAUAAACUAAUAGAUUCCCAAAGAGACCGUGCUAAA